rnacentral:miRNA from 1 species
AGGCUUUAGUGUAGUCAAAAGUUAAUUCAUGUUUUUCUGUAACAUCUUAUGGAAAAACCUGAAUGAACUUUUUGGCUAACCCAAUAUAAAAUA